GAUGAACGCUGGCGGCGUGCCUAAUACAUGCAAGUCGAGCGAACAGACGAGGAGCUUGCUCCUUUGACGUUAGCGGCGGACGGGUGAGUAACACGUGGGUAACCUACCUAUAAGACUGGGAUAACUUCGGGAAACCGGAGCUAAUACCGGAUAAUAUUUCGAACCGCAUGGUUCGAUAGUGAAAGAUGGCUCUGCUAUCACUUAUAGAUGGACCUGCGCCGUAUUAGCUAGUUGGUAAGGUAACGGCUUACCAAGGCAACGAUACGUAGCCGACCUGAGAGGGUGAUCGGCCACACUGGAACUGAGACACGGUCCAGACUCCUACGGGAGGCAGCAGUAGGGAAUCUUCCGCAAUGGGCGAAAGCCUGACGGAGCAACGCCGCGUGAGUGAUGAAGGUCUUCGGAUCGUAAAACUCUGUUAUUAGGGAAGAACAAACGUAUAAGUAACUGUGCACGUCUUGACGGUACCUAAUCAGAAAGCCACGGCUAACUACGUG
rnacentral:rRNA from 1 species